GUGCAGCCCUGGAUGUCCCUAUCCAUUGGUGAUGUGCACAGGAACCAGUGGGAGCAAGCAGGAAAAGUGCAAGCAGGGAAAAAAGAAAAGAAAAAAUGUCAUGGAGAUUUCCAGAAAAGGAGCAAAGAAGGAAAGUAGGCUUUCUGAGUCUAUACAAGGGGCUCAGUGGCAGCUGGCCCUAGGUGACAUAGGGGGUUGAAGUACUGGCAUUCAGGAGUCUCCUCUCACAGCGUGUGCAUCAUCAGGUUUGAGCUCCAGGGGUGCACAGCCUUGACCCACUAUCUGGAUUUGGAUGGGAGUGUCCAAGGUGAGCUAAGUUCUUCCAGCACACUGCUGACCACGGGCUAGGCCAGUGCAGGUCCCAUGGGUCCACAGGGGCAGCAGCCUGGCCACAGAAUCCUUUAUGGUCAUCAGGCUGGCAGUAGCACCUUAUAAUCUGAUGUCACCGUUGUCAGAGAACCAGAGAAGAAUUCUUAGUGGGAUCGUGGAGGUAUAUCAUAGUCCCAUCACAUGGUGAAGCAGUCAAUCCAAAGGCCCAGAUCUAGUGUGGAUAAAGGCCCACACAAACUAAACAGGCAAUGGCCAUCAGCCUCUUUGCCUUAGUGAGUGAGAGCUGUCACAUAGGCCUGUCCCAGGGUGAACCAGUGGACUUCCCCCUUAGUGGUGUUCCAGGCCCACUCCCACAACUGAGGGGUAGUUCCUAAAAGCAGCCAUACUCCUCCAGGGCCAUGUUCCUUCAUUUAUAAAUCCUGGGUCAUAGUUAUCCAAUUUCCAACCCAUGUAGUAGCCCAUGGUGGCAAGUGGGGCCCAAAUAUCUGCCUGACCAUGAAGCUCAAAGCAACCAGUGAGAGACUCUGGUGACUGGAGCACAGUGGGUCAUCCCGUGAGGAAGGUCUUCAGGACCAUCUUAAUAAGCAAAGGUCAGGCAUUGGGUCAAUGUCAUUGAGAUCUGAGCCCCUGUCUAGUUGCUUUGAUACUGUGGCUUAGGCAGGUGGACACAAAAGUGGCUCGUGCAAUCCCUCCAAGGAAGGUUCAGGUCAGGGUUCUGGCGCUCCCAACCCAGGAAUCCUUAGUUGCCCCAGAAAGUGAAACAAUGGGAGAAGGCUGGAUUUAAAAUAAGGGCAUGUAGUGAGGGCUUGUGCACUUGGAAUAAAUGGCCCAAAUAGUACAGAAACAUUUUGGUGCUUGUUCUAGGAUAUCUAAAUCCAAUCAGUUGUGGUCAUCUUACUGGACUUGCACAAGUUUAGCUUGGAGCAGACUGCCAUGUCCUCUUCUAUGUCAGCCUGGCAAGACCAGAUACAUUUCCAUGGUUACUGGCAGGGUUAAAGGCCCUGUAUCUGCUGUUGACAGGGCACCAGGCUCCCCUGGAAGGGCAGCCCAGACAUUGGUGUAGGCUAGGAAGGUGCAGAAAGCCAAGGAGUCCUCACACAGCCACUAUCAGCAUGCUGCAAGAGCCCAUGCAGGCUUUGGUAGAGGUGGUUAUACAAAUGGGCAUGGAUGGGUUUGAGUUAGCACUUUCUUGGCAAAGGAUCUAAUUGGCUGAGGCAGAACUGCUGAUAUUUGCUGGUGAGAAAGGAGUGGGUAAUGAGGAAGAGGCAAAUAAAGUAGACAAGGAGAGAGUGAAUGGCACAACCCCAGAGUCAGGGCAGUGCCCACAUACUGCUUUCAGCCUCUCAUUGCGCCAGCAGCACCAGUCACAGGAAUUAGAUAGCUUGUCCCAGGUUGGAACAGAGUCACUUUCUACUCAUUCCAACCUUCCACUAAUAAGCAUAAGCACAAACUAAGGAGGUAGGAGCAGGGGAAAUGUACUCACUUAGGUGGAAGCAAGGCGGUCCUGGCCCACGUCAUAGUCUUUUGUUGGGCACAGGAGAGGAAUAAGGUCAUUCUCUUGUCCAAGGGUGUGCCUUCACUAUAAAACAGAGAAAGAUCAUAGCUAGAGAUUAUUCCCAGGGUGUCUUUUUCUUCAUUGGCCACUCAUUCUGUGGGGCCAGAUCAUAGUGCAACUACUUCCAUUUGUUCCCCCAUGGAGUGUGGUUAGAUGCUCAGUGAUGAGUGAGCCCCAUGAUGGCUGGGGAACCCAAUAAUUAGCACAAGCGCUCCUCUAUGAUAGUCAAUGGUGGACAUGCUGUGCUAGUAGCCACAGUAUCUGGUACUGGCACUCCCUCCUCAUCUUGUACCAAUUCCUCAUCUCCUGGGUACUGGAAACAGAUAUUGACAUCAAAUAUCCACACACCUGUCAGAUUUUCUAUUGGAAUAGGCAGAGUAUAGUCACUAGUUUUGGGGGUUAAGGUGUUUUGUUGAAAUUGCUACAGUAUCUUCUGUUGGAUUAUAGAAAACCUGUCUGCUCUAGCCAUACCUUAAGGGGACCUAGUCCUCGUUGCAUGGAAUCUAGUCAUAGAACAUAGGCCUGGGUCUAGAAGUGCAUUAUUAGCCGUGGCCACCUGGCUAUGCCCGUCUGCAUAGAAAUUGUGGAAUGAAGAAGGGUCAGUUCUGCCAUUGGGAAGAGAGACAUGAUCGACAAAGAUGGUGACAAGGGAAACUAAGUAUUUCUACAAAGACAUGGCCUGGGUCUCUCAACCUCGUACCAUCCAUUAUCUGACAACCCCCUCAUGACUCCAUAGGGUGAGGCCAUUGGUGCUGGACUAGGAAGAUGUAUGACGAAUCUUUGCUUACUAAAGCAAAAGGGCAAGCAGGAACCACAGACUCUGUACAUACUGCACAUGCUCUUCUUUCCCCUCAGUAGUCAGGGCCUGGUCAAUGGUAGGGUAGUACCUUCCGCUGCCGCAAGAUACCUAUCCCAUAAGAUCUAUGAAGCAGAAAACCCUGGCUUGCUCUGUGCUCGGUUCCAGAUACUGUCCAGGAAUCUGUGUCCCUGAGUGGGGCAGACUGCCCCAGGCCAUGGGGUAAGCAAGGAAGCUCACAAAGAUGGCUCCCCCGUUCAUUCAUCAGCUGUGAUCAGUUCUGAGGAAUUCUGCUCCUAAGCUCGUGAGAGAAGGGAAUACCCUGCAGCCUCCUGGGGCUGUGCCACUGCUUGUUCUGGCCAUACUCCCGAUGCUCCGCUAGGAAAGGGGUGAGGGGGUGGGCUGCUUUCCAAGCAAAGAAAACGCACUCUAACAAGGUGGGGGGAGGGGCGCUGCACCUUUGGCUAAGCCUGGGGGAGGCUUAGGAGGAUCAGGGCAGGGGUUUUCCUGGGCUUGUCUAGGAGUCUUUGCAAGGUCAUGUUCCAGGUAACUUUGACCACAUCUCUUUGCACCAACAACAGAAACGAUGCAUCGAGGCAAUGAGGCCUUGGAAUUAAGGACUAUGACUAAACGCAAAAACUCGGACCCAAGCCUUGAACUCACUGGUUUCCCGAGGACAUCCCCCACCCACUUUUAUACCACGUGCCUUUUGCUAAGGGAACAAUUCUUUCCCGUGACGCACAUGCCCAGAGAGACCAGAAUCCCGCUCAUGGGCUUCCGCCACUGACGUCAUACCCUACUUCCGGGAAUCAUUGGUGGGAUGUGACUCAUGGAGCUUCAUUGCUCCGAGGGGGAUUUAGGGUGAGGGAGGGCGGAAGUUUGGUGGCCACUCCACCCCCCAAUACCAGACAACUGGCACCUUCAGUGCCCUUCCUGGCAGGCCCACGCAGUCACUCUGCGUGGUGGGGGAAUUCUUAGAGUCUAUCGGGACUGUUUCAGGGCCUCGCGGGGCUCUUAUGGGUCUUACAGAGCGUGGUAGGGCACGACUGGCUGGGGGUCAUCUGCGCAGGCGCCGCGGGCAUCACUGAGGACACGUGGCUUUUUCAACUGAAGCAGCAAUGACCGGGAUGAGGUUUUGGUACCCAGUGACGUGGGUUUCUUAUAUGUCAUCAGUUUUGCUGAGUCAUCUACAGUACUGUGUGAGGACAGCCGCCUCACAGGGUCUUCCAGUUAAAGGGGAGGUUUUUUUAGCCAAGGAUUUGGGCCUAGUCAGUCAACGUUGAGGAGUCAUUUGCGCAUGCGUUGAUGAGAUUGGGGACACGUGAUCUUAGCCUGAAGCGAUAGCAUUGCGCCAGUCUCUGAUGGGGCCAGUUUUUCCUACCUCCAUCAUCGCGGCGUUGUAAGGAACAAGUAAGAAUGGAACCCUUAAAGGCUGUGAAAGGGUUAGCCAUUACCGUUUAAACCAACAAGGGCAACAGUAUCUUCUCCAAACCACAUUUCUGGAAUUCUCAAUCAUGAGCAUCAACAUUUUCAAAACCCUUCUCCAUGAUAAAGAGUUACCCCGCUUCUUAAACUUAAUGAUCUUAAGGGUAAUGAAUUCCUACUCCUACGUUAUUUCCAAAAGCGUCUAUGUAGCUUUUCAGUGGUAAUAUGGGAGAAGGAUGGAAACCCUUCCAUACUCCAACUCCAGGAGAAGAGAGGAUUCUGGGUGUCUGCUCCUCAUGGUGAGUGGAAAUUUACAUUUUUUUUUUUUUUUUGCAGCAUUUGUUUUUUUUUUUUUUUUUUUUUUUUUAAUUUAAUAGCCUUUUAUUUACAGGAUAUAUGCAGACCCCCAGCCAGUCGUGCCCUACCACGCUCUGUAAGACCCAUAAGAGCCCCCCUCCCCCAGAUGGCAGGAUGACCAGUAGAUGGUAAGUACAUUAAAAUAUAAAUUAGAUACACAAUAAGUAUACAUGACCAAAACGUUAUUUUUGCAGCAUUUGUUACACAUAAUUCUGGAUUUCUUUCUGAAUUUGGGAUGACUUCCAGAUAGUCCAGUAAGACUUUGACUUCAGAUGGUCAAAAUGAUCUCUUGAAGUUGUUCUUUGGGAGGCAAUUGAAGGCACACAACUAAAGGGUUAAAUAUCUGAGGUUUUGAAUUCAGUUCCUCAACUCCAGGGCCAGUGCUAGUCCAUUGUGCCAUUUAUCUGUACCCUACCCCAUCCCCACCCCCAGCUUGUGAAACAGGAGUUGGCUCCUUGCUCACCACCUCUCAGUGAAAAUUUCCAAUGCUCCCUGAAAUGACUACAUCUAAAACCUAAACUUCCUACAAUGUUAAAAAUCCCAGUACUUACCUUCACACUUUACUCUAAAAAACCAUGAGUAUGUAUCAACUCUUACCACCCGUAGCCUCCUAAUGAGCAUCAUAAGUGUAACAAUACUUUAUCACAGUAGCUGUCUUAAAGGCAGUGGGACAGAAGGGAGCCAAAAUAUAAGGAUCAUCCUACUUCUAACAUAUCCAAGUGACUGAGAGGCAGUACCAAUGGGAAUUUUAAAGAAAUUAACAUUUCCGCUAGUUAUGGUUUUAGAACUGAAGAGAAAGUGGGGAUUUGUGGAACAAGCUUCAGGUUUCGCCUAGUGAGAAAUGUUGAGGAAAAGUGUUCCAGAUGUGCAUCCUGCUGAGAACUGAAGGUGGGAGGGAUCUGCUUGUCUCUUGUAAGAAUAUAUGUCUGGAAAACUCACUUGGCAAAGCUUUCCACUUUCCCUAAAGGAUUUUAACUCAUAAUCAUUCAGUAAAGAAAUAUGAUUACCGUAACCAAACCAGGUGGUGAAACAAAUUAAAAAAUAAAUACAAAUCAAUUUACCAUAUACCGUGCAAGACAAUGCCAACAAAAUUCCUUUUUUGAAGUUGAGCUUUGUCUCCCUGUGACAAAAUACACAUGAGUUUGGAAGUUUCAUUUGGGAGCAGGAUACGGAAAACUUUCUGGAAAAAUGUUUUAUUUGGUUCCUCUCAAGAUGACAGAUUAGAUUUUUAUAGCACAAAUGUUUUGCCCUUAAAUUACCAUAUCCAGUCACAUAGUUCUUUCAUGGACAGCCUGGGUGAUUUUGGACAGUCCACUUUUUCUUCAUAUAAGGAGAUAAACCAAAUUGUCAUUGGGAAACUGAAGAGAAAUCGUUGUUCAGGAACUAGUAUCCCCCUUCCUGUCUUCUCUAUAGAAACUUCCUGUACUUUAGUUAGAAUCUAUUUUAAAAGUUCUCCCUGAGUAGGAAACAAACAAACAAAAAACAGUAGCAAAACAUGCCUCUCUGCUGCAAAGCCAUUUAUAAAAACAAAACAAAGCCAAAAAGAACCCUUUUCCCCCCUUAUCCUUUGUACUCAGUAGUGUCAUUGUAGUAAUUAUGAGCAAAAGAGAAAGAUAACCACUGUUAUUCAUAUUUCAAUGGUCUGUCUCCUAAAAUUAUUUGUUCACAGUGGGCUUUUAGAGUCAUGAUAACACAACUUUAAGAGUCCACAAAUGGUAGUGGAGACAUUUAGAAUUUUUUUUUUCUAUUAUGAGAUACACUUAUUGCCAAACUGACUUACUCAUCACAGAAAGGGAAAAAUACCCCUCAAAUCCCAUGAAGAUUAAAAAAUCGUAAUAAAUUAAUUAUUUAUAAUAAUAAUAUAAGUAAUAAACUGUAGUAAAUGAGAGAGAGCAUUGGAGUCCAAGAAGUUCAGUUCUUCUGAUAUAGGUGACCCAGUGCAGGAAUUUUAACCUUUUACUGCUAUCCCUUCCCACUGCCAUCCCUUCCCCUGACCCUCCCAUCCCAGUUUCCUGAGAUUCUUAAAUUACAAAUUAGUCGUUGAUCUAAAUUGGUGGGCAGUUUUCACACCAGGAGUUCUCUAGAUGGAUCAAGGUCUGGACCACCUUCUUCCCUCCAGCUCCCUCAAAAUAACGAUUGAGAGCUUAGUGACUGUAAUUUGAUUUAUAAUAGUAGAAGAAAUGAUCACUUGAAAAGGCCAGGAUUUUAUCCAAAGUAUUGCUUAGUUCAAACUAGACAGAACCAAGAAAAAAUAAAUUAACAGACUAAUAUACUCAAUUCAUUUUUUGUUCGUUUGAUUUUUUUUUUUUUUGGAAAUCUGAAGAGACAUAGUGACCGAUUUCCCCUUUCCAGCCAAGACUACGUCUUUACAAAUUCCCUUUAUGUUAGACAAAAGAGUUCCCUAAAGAGCUCCCUAAAGGAGCCUUAAUUUUAAAAUGCAUUGAGAUAGGGGGAAAGAGAACAGUGGUAACCUGCUAGCUGAUGGUUGGUGUGAAGAGAGUUAAACAGGCUUGCCCAGCUUUCAGAGAAAACUCUUGAGUUACCCACCAGAUAUUAUUGCCUAUGUUCUUCUCAAACCCAACUUUUUCCACUCUCAGGUUCUACAACCCUUAUUACAUAUCAAGUUUGUGUCCUCCCACAAGCUGGGGGGUGGGGUGGGGGGAACUAACCCAGGAUUUCCAGUAUGUGCUUGGUCUGUUUGGCCAAAGGUGACUAACUUAGUGGACUGAGGUCGACCUCCCCCUCCCCCAAAUCAAUAAUUUAAUGUGACUUAUCAGAAAGAGAAAGAAUUGUUUACUUUAAAUCCCUGGAUCCCAUAAAGGGAGAGAGGGAAAGGCACACUGGGAACAGAAGCUGCAGAGGGCCUUGUUUCUGCCUCUGGGCUGCUGAAAGGCAAAGCAGGAGAAAGCUCUUUAGAGGGAUGCAUCUAGCUCUAAGAGAUGUGUGGAACGCCAAGGCCCAGUCACUGUUCAGAUCAGAAUCUGGGACAGACCCUGCAGAGGAGAAGCUCCCCACCAUGCAGCCACUCUUGGAGGUGAAUUCUUAAGAAGUGAUGAGCCACCCAGCGGGGACAGUAGAGAGAAGUUUAUACCUCCACUAUGGCCGAGGACUAUGAAAGAAAUAGAUCAAGAAAGAAGGAAAAAGAAAAGCUGAGAAAGAAAACACAAUGCAAGAAUGCUAUGUUAUAAUCCAUACUCAGUUCCCACAGUCCUCUCUCUGGGAGUAGAUGACUCUCUUCUUCACUGCACAAGUGGAACUGGUUUGAAUCAUCUCAUUGUUGAAGAGAGCCAUGUCCAUCAGAAUUGACCAUCAUAUAGUCUUGUUGUUGCCGUGUAUAAUGAUCUCCUGGCUCUGCUCAUUUCAUUUAACAUCAGUUCAUGUAAGUCUCUCCAGGCCUCUUAAAUCAUCCUGCUGGUCAUUUCUUACAGAACAAUAAUAUCCCAUAACAUUUAUAUACCAUAAUUUAUUCAGACAUUCUCCAAUUGAUGGGCAUCCACUCAGUUUCCAGUUUCUUGCCACUAUAAACAGGGCUGCCACAAACAUUUUUAGACAUGUGGGUCCCUUUCCUUUCUUUAAGAUCUCUUUGAGAUAUAAGCCCAGUAGAAACACUGAUGGAUCAAAGGGUAUGCACAGUUGAUAACUUUUUGAGCAUAGUUCUAAACUGCUCUCCAGAAUGGCCGGAUGUAUUUAUAAUUCCACCAGCAAUGUAUCAGUGUCCCAGUUUUCCCACAUCCCCUCCAACAUUCAUCAUUAUCUUUUCCUGUCAUCUUAGCCAAUCUGACAGGUGUGUAAUGAUAUUUCAGAGUUGUCUUAAUUUGCAUUUCUCUGAUCAAUAGGGAUUUGGAGCACCUUUUCAUGUGGCUACAAAUACUUUCAAUUUCUUCAUCUGAAAACUGUCUUCAUCUCUCUUGACCAUUUAUCAAUUGGAGAAUGACUUAAACUAUUAUAAAUUUGAGUCAGUUUUCUAUAUAUUUUAGAAAUGAGGCCUUUUAUCAGAUCCUUUGGAUGAGUCUGGGCAAGUUUUAAGGAAGCUCAGAAUUGGAUGCUACGAAUAAGGGUCCAGAAAUUUCUGAGGAUAAGAAUAAGAAAUAGUGAAUACAGUGCUAUAUUUUAGUUUACUGAAGCUGGGGCUCAAUAGCCAUUUUGAUGUCUUGACUUUCUGUAGUUAAAAGCUCGUUAAUAGAAAACCACUCGGCUUACUGGAGAGGAUUUCCUCAACUAAUUCAUGCUAGACUGUUGAUGAUUGAUUAUAACCUGGACAUUUGAUCCUUCCCAGGAAUAUUUGGAGCUUUGUAAGGGACUAAAAAGAAUUUCUAGUAACAGAACAAUUUCAGUUACUAAUGUCUAGCCUGUGGAGACACAUUUGAGGGUAAGAAAGAGGCUGGGAAGGGCUUUUCUAAUAUCCCUCAAAUCAUACUACCGAAGCAAUCAGUGGCCUGUUUGGCUAAUGGACCAAAGUCACAUUCUAAAGGGAAAUGAGUCAUCCUAUUAAAAGGAUAAACAAACCAAGAAGAUAAGCAAAUAGCUGGAGCCAACUCCCUCAAUCUGAGUAUGAUAAAAAUGACUUUUAAAAAUAUAUCAAUCCUCACAAAACCUGAAGCCCUGUUGUCUUUGUCAAGCCUGCUGAUUUCAUUUACUGGGAGACAGGAAACCAGAUUGUCUUUAGGAAAUACAAAGAAAAUUGAUUUUAGGUGCUCAAGGAUAUGACAACAUUAAAUUUAGAAAGUAUUUCUGGUUGUAUUUAGAAAAAGAGGCAAUUCUGAGAAACAUGAACCUAGCCCCAACUUUCCUCUUUUUACUGCAUAGUAAAAAAGAAAAUCAGUGAAGUAAAAUACUUAGCUUCUUGUCUUUUCUACUGUGGCAAGGAGUUUAGUACUAUCAAAAAAAUAAUUCAAACUGGAAACCUGUGCAAAUCUAGAGCAGGAUUGCUUCACAGAUAGGUCUCCUUUUGGCUAAGAUCUGAAUGCUAUUGCCUCCAAAAUGAAUAGGUCCUUUUCACUAAGCUUACCUCCUGUCUCUUCAAUUUUACUCCUUUUCCUUUCCACUACCAUAAUGGACUGAGAUUUAAAAUCCAAACUGAGCUUGGUUGUUAGGUAACCAAGGCCAUGCUACUGAUGUCAAAAUUCUAUUCCUUAAAAGAAGUGAGUUUUCUUUCUUGGGAAGAAAAUACCACUUACCAAAAUUGUCACAGACUUAAAGCAGGCAUUAAUAAUAUGCUAGGAAUUAUUAAGGAAGGGGGAGAUGGAGGGAAAGAGAGCCUUUUCAUAACUUUAUGCUUGCUUAUUAUAUGCAUUCCCACAAAAUAUUUUUGUUUGUCAAAUUCUGGUUUCACACAUACAGUAGUGUAUCCACUGUAGAUGUUUUAUUUUCUCAGCCUAAAAAAAAUAAGUGAAAACAAAUAUUCUAGUGGGCUCAUCACAUAUUUGAUUUCCUUAAGAAAUCUCCACUUACUUUAAGGAGUGCUUAAUUGUAGGACAAAGAAUAUGUAACAUGGAAAACACUAACUCUGGAAUCAGAGAACAUGGGUUUGAAUUCUUCCUGUUUCUUAUUAUUUGUGUGAUCUUGUAUAUGAUGUCACUCCUUGAUCCUUAGUUUCUUCCUUUCUAAAAUGAGGAUGCUGGAAUGAAUGGCCUCUGAGGUCUUUUCCGGUUCUAGAUAGAUGAUUUUGUGAUCCUAUGAAAGCAGAACAAAGGGCAGAUUUGCUAGUGUCAGUGUAGACCAAAUAACUACUCUCAUAAGGCAGUUUCAGUUUGGACAGGGCAAGGAGAAUCUUCUACCUUUUGUUAUGACUUCCUUCAGCUUGUCUCUCCAUUUCCUAUAAAGUUUGUCAUGGUGUCCUAUCUCCUCUUUCCCUUUCAGGUAAUGCAUAGAGAUCUGGAGACUUCCUUUUUGGUGGGUUCAUGGCAGUGCUGCCAUGUGGAAGUGCAACUAAUAUUCUUUGGGCUGUGUGUUAUCCUUGCCAGAGCUAUGGAGUGUGACAAUGGUGUUUGUGUCCAGUCUAUCAAACGCCAUUAUCACACUAAAUAGCUAUAGUUGGGUACUCCAUCUCUUCAGGGAAGAGCAUGUCAAGCAUCGAGUCAUCUGCUGAAGAUGGACAAAACUGUUACUCUUACUUUAAUGCCCUGUUCAUUCAUGGAUACCAAAGAAAUUGCCAAAAUGGUGGCUCAUAAAAGGGUAUAUUCUUUCAGAGGCAGAAUUUUCUCAACUUUGCCUUUUACCCUUUGCUAUAAAUGGAUGUUUUCCUGAAGGAUGUAAGCUCCUUGAGGGCAGAGAUUAUUUUGUUUUAAUUUUCAUCUUUGUAUCCAUAGCCUAUCACUGCAUCUAGUACUAAUAAUCUUUAAUAAAUGUUUGUUGAAUUGAAUAUAUUUCUGAGUCCCUAAAGAAGAUGCAUACCAUCCCACAGGAUUUAGCAUGCUGCUAGACACAGUGGAUCCAACAAUAAAUAUUUCUUGAAAUGCAGUAGCAAGGAGGGAAUGGAUAAAGGGAAAAGAAAUCAUCUGGGAUAUGCAAAUAAUUUAUUAUUUACAUAGAAAGUAAAGUAUUUGCCUUUUUUCUUUUCAUUAUGGAAUUCCUUUCAAAAGCACACGGUAAUAAACUUACAUUUGGUCUAAUUGACCUCCUAGAAAUGUUAGUGCACAUGUUUGACUCCUAACAAUUUUAUUCAAUUACAGUGAUGAUUGCUAUAUAUGUAUGCACGAUUCCCCCUUCCCUAAUGUAUCCUUUAAUUAUCCAUUAUGUUGAACUGCUGAAAACAACUUUUGAAAUUGUUAGCUCUUGUGGCCUAUUUAAUAAUUGAACUCAGCAGAGUUGAAAUGCAAUAGAGGUAAAGGGGGUUGGUUCUUAUAUCCUAAACAAGGAGAGGAUCAGAAGGUGUACUGGCUUAAAAUAAUUUGAAUUAAUCAACUGCAUGAUAGCCCAAGUUGGGCUUUUUCCUCAGAAUCCAGUUAUUAGGACUAAAUUCUUGACACUGGAUCAUGUUUUGUGUAUGAGGCAAACUGAUGGUAUAUGCAGUUUUUCAGUUUCCAGUUGUCCUGGAAAUGGAGACUAUAAUCAUACAAAGAAACUCCAGAAUACCUGAUGAGUGAUUAAAAACAAAAAGAAAGAAAUGGAAUAGUGGAAAGAACACCAGACCAAGAGAGAGGAAUUCUUUCUUUAAGGAAGUCAUUAAAUCUCUUUUGGCUUCCUGGAGCAGCAAGGUGGGUAACACAGUGAAUAAAUAAAGGGCCUGACCUAAAGUAAAGAAGACCUGAGUUCAAAUCCAGCCUACUUAUUAACUGUGACCUGGAAAAGUCAUUUAGUCCUACUUGUCUCAGUUUCUCAUCUGUAAAAUGAGCUGGAGCAGGAAAUGGCAAACGACAUGAGUAUCUUUAUCCCCUAAAAUGGAGUCACAAAGAGUCAGACAUGAUUGAAAUAAUUGAACAAUAACAAAAAUGGAAGGCCAGCCUAGAUGAUCUCUUAAGUUAUAAUUCUAACAAUCUCUGAAUCUAAGUAAUACCAUUAGUCAAAUGAAUAAAAUUUACAAAAUAAUUCAUUAAGGAAUUUUGAAAACCUUAAUGAAAAUACCUUAAUGAAGAGAUUAUCUUCAGUACAUUUAGUAAAAAAGAAAAAAAAUUGCAUUAAUGGUUUACAAAUAUCACAUUUCAAAGAAAUGAGUUUGUUUAUUUAGAGGACAAAAAUACAAAUCCAAAGAACAGAGCUUAUGGAACUGGAAGCAAGGAAGGAAAAAGAGGGAGUAAAUAAAAAAAAGGAUAUGACACUAUUCCAAUCCACUAUAAUGGUUUUGGGGUUUUUCACAGGGGAGAGACUCACCAGCCAAUGAUACUGCUAAAAGCAAGAGAUCUUUAAUUUGAUACAUUUUCAGCUUCCCCAAGGGAAGAUUUAAGGUCUAAGGGAACACCUAGCAAUGGGAACAAAUAAGGGGAGGACAGAAGCAACUCAGGAGGGAUACAACCAUAUUUGUAAUAACAGUAUUUAGGCCACAGCAGGAUAAGAAAAGAAGUUCAAGGAUGUGAGUGAAGAGGAUAUAUGUUGUCCUUUGUAUACUUAGCUUUGCUUCUACAUAAGAUAGCUAAGAUCUUGUCUCCAUCAGGGAAGCACACCAGCUCUUCCCACCCUUCUAAAACUAGGUGGGGAUCAACACAGGUCAAUUCUCUAUACAAAAGUAUUUUCAUAGAUUAGGAUGGUCAGCCAAUGAGAAGAGUCAAAGAAAAUUCAAAUUGCCAGAGAAACAACAAAACAAAGCAGAAGAGGGAAGGGUGAGUUCUUGCUCAUACCUGGCUGAUUGAUCUCCUUCAUUUGCUGUCAUAUAUAACAGAUGCUAAUUAACCAGGUGGAGUAUGGGCAUAGAAGAUUAUAAAAGAGGGAAGGGGCCAGGCUGGACGAAGAGUUGUGUCUGAAGCACAUAUAGCUUGUUUCAAGAAAUACUGGAUUCAUCUGCAUCCAAAAAGAGAACUAUGGAGAUUGAAUGUAAAUCAAUACAUGCUAUCUUCGCUUCUUUUUUUUCUGUUUUUUUCCUUGUGGUUUUUCCCUUUUGUUCUGAUUUUUCUCUCCCAACAUGAUUCACAAAGAAAUGUGUAUUUAAAAAGUUAAUACACAUGAAUAAACAGAAAAAAAAAGCAAUAAAGAAAAAAAGACUGGACCCCCCAAAAAAGAGAGGAGUGUGAGGAUACAUGUAUAUGUAUAUAUUCUGUGAAUUAAUAACUAUCAUAGAUGUAGGAAGGGAAAGUUUAAGUUUGGUCCUUAACUAUUGAAAUUCACCUUGUCAAAUGACUUCUCAUCUAAUUAAAUUCCCUUUAUUUUUUUCAAUUUUGAUAUCUUCUUUUCCGAUUCAUUGAUGUGUCUCAGAAGAUCAUAUUUCAUUAAUGACUCAUAUGAAGUUACAUAUAAGCUUCCCUUUCUUGUCCCAAAUGCAACGUGAAAGCACAUAAGCUUAUGAACAAACACAUUAAAUUUACAAUCCAUAUUGUUUUUCUCCCCAGUGUUUUUAUUUCUAAUGGCAAUGCCACAGUACAAUGAAUCAUCAGAGUAGG
rnacentral:lncRNA from 1 species